AUACUUACCUGGCAGGGGAAAUACCAUGACCACUAAGGUGGUUUUCUUACUGGCAGGGGACAACCACUUUCCUGACCUAGGUAAUGCAUACCCCCACUUUCACUUCCAGUGGGAAGAUCUCAGCUAUGUGCCAACUUUAUGGAAAUGGGAGACUGCUCCCU